rnacentral:rRNA from 1 species
CAUCAGUCAGAUAAGCCAUGCAUGUCUAAGUACACAUCAUCUUACGAUGAAACCGCGAAUGGCUCAUUAAAUCAGCUAUGGUUCCUUGGAUCGUGUAUCUAACAUGGAUAACUGUGGGAAUUCUAGAGCUAAUACAUGCAUCAAAGCCAUGACCGCAAGGGAACGGCGCAUUUAUUAGAUCAAAACCAACCGGGCUCCGGCCUGAGUUUUUUGAUGACUCUGGAUAAACUUUAGCAGAUCGCAUGGCCUUGAGCCGGCGACGUAUCCUUCAAAUGUCUGCCCUAUCAACUUACGUUGGUAGGUUACCUGCCUACCAUGGUGAUCACGGGUAACGGGGAAUCAGGGUUCGAUUCCGGAGAGGGAGCAUGAGAAACGGCUACCAGAACUACGGUUUGCAGCAGGCGCGCAAAUUACCCACUCCCAGUACGGGGAGGUAGUGACGAAAAAUAACAAUACGGGUCUUUUUAUAGGCCCCGUAAUUGGAAUGAGUACACCUUAAAACCAUUAACGAGUACCAAUUGGAGGGCAAGUCUGGUGCCAGCAGCCGCGGUAAUUCCAGCUCCAAUAGCGUAUAUUAAAGUAGUUGCAGUUAAAAAGCUCGUAGGUGGAUCUGAGGAGUAUAGCCAGUGGUUGGUCACACGACCAUACUGCUCGCUCGGCCUACAUAGACUUUGAUUGCUUUGAUGCUCCCCAUUGAAUGACAUUUUUAAUCGGCCCCGUUUACUUUUUGGAAACUGUUUAUGCUCAGAACUAGCGCGGUAUCUGAUCAGAUAUCGAAUCCUCUGACGUUCGAUGAAGACGACUGGAAAUUAUUCUGUGGCUAGUGCCUUGGACUGAUGGACUGAUCGUGCGAUGAUCGGAAGACUUUCAUCCUCUCUCCACUCGCGAUGCGAAAUGCUCCAGUUCUUCCCUUCAUAAUCAAUUCGCUCAGUCUCGAAAACUAAGAACGAUAGUCAGUUCUUCUCUAUAUCGAGAUGUUCUGAACGACGGGUCUGAUUGAUCUAACAUUUCUAACAACGUAGCCGUCAUAGCACUCAUCAGCCAAACAUGCAAUUUGGCGAUCGUAUGUUGACACACGUAGCUCAGCUAGCACGCAUUGAGCCACGUUCAACUAGCGAUCUGUCGACGAGUUCA